rnacentral:tRNA from 1 species
CGCAAGGUAUUCAGCGCAAUACACUGCCUUCACACGGCAGGGGUCACAGGUUCAAUCCCUGUCGCACCCA